UGAGGAAUAUUGGUCAAUGGGCGGGAGCCUGAACCAGCCAAGUCGCGUGAAGGAAGACAGUCCUAAGGAUUGUAAACUUCUUUUAUACGGGAAUAACGGGCGAUACGAGUAUUGCAUUGAAUGUACCGUAAGAAUAAGCAUCGGCUAACUCCGUGCCAGCAGCCGCGGUAAUACGGAGGAUGCGAGCGUUAUCCGGAUUUAUUGGGUUUAAAGGGUGCGUAGGUUGUUCGGUAAGUCAGCGGUGAAACCUGAGCGCUCAACGUUCAGCCUGCCGUUGAAACUGCCGGGCUUGAGUUCAGUGGCGGCAGGCGGAAUUCGUGGUGUAGCGGUGAAAUGCAUAGAUAUCACGAGGAACUCCGAUUGCGAAGGCAGCUUGCCAUACUGCGACUGACACUGAAGCACGAAGGCGUGGGUAUCAAACAGG
rnacentral:rRNA from 1 species